rnacentral:rRNA from 1 species
AUUGAACGCUGGCGGCAGGCCUAACACAUGCAAGUCGAACGGUAGCACAGAGAGCUUGCUCUCGGGUGACGAGUGGCGGACGGGUGAGUAACGUCUGGGAAACUGCCCGAUGGAGGGGGAUAACUACUGGAAACGGUAGCUAAUACCGCAUAACGUCGCAAGACCAAAGUGGGGGACCUUCGGGCCUCACACCAUCGGAUGUGCCCAGAUGGGAUUAGCUAGUAGGUGGGGUAAUGGCUCACCUAGGCGACGAUCCCUAGCUGGUCUGAGAGGGUGAGCAGCCACACGGGAACUGAGACACGGUCCAGACUCCUACGGGAGGCAGCAGUGGGGAAUAUUGCACAAUGGGCGCAAGCCUGAUGCAGCCAUGCCGCGUGUAUGAAGAAGGCCUUCGGGUUGUAAAGUACUUUCAGCGGGGAGGAAGGCGGUGAAGUUUAUAGCUUAACCGAUUGACGUUACCCGCAGAAGAAGCACCGGCUAACUCCGUGCCAGCCGCCGCCGUAA